rnacentral:tRNA from 1 species
UAUAUUUUAGUGUUUAUGCACCAAAGAUUUUGAAUCUUUAAGCUUUAAUUAACUAUUAAAAAAUAUAU